CAAAUAAAGGCAACAGUAGUAUACCGCUGUUCAAACUCAUAAAUCCAUGGACAAAAAACAAAAUCGGGGUAACAAACUAAAACUUGAGGGAAACGCAUAAAUAUAAGAGGAGAACAACGACACAACACUACAAUGUAACUAACACACACAGAAACGGACCAAACAUCAGACAAAAUCCCACGAGAAUAACAAAUAUAACAUCAAAACCAAAUACAUGAAUUUGGGAUAGACAAGUACCGUGACACGUCUUAUCGCAAUGUCAAUUUACACUCAAAAAUAAGAGAAAACAAACGACGCAACGUUAAAUUGUAACACACACAGAAACAACUAUA
rnacentral:lncRNA from 1 species